UUCUUGCCGUGCGGGUUCUUUUCAUUGCAUGCCAGGGUCUGUCCUCUGGCUGCGCUGAUCCGUUCAAUAAGCUUUUAUUAAGACCCCUACUACGUGCCGAGCAGCGUGUUAGGCAUUAAGGGACGGGAGUGGGAGGGUUCGGUAAUUGGGAGAGGCAAGUCCUUAAAGCCUCCCGGUGCUCUUCGUCUAAAACAAAGACAAACCCUGUGGCUUCCAACUUUACCGGGCUAGCAGACCAAAUGUCAUUGUGAUGCGUUUGCGUUGCAGUUUCACCCGCUGCCUAAUUCCCGGGGGCGGGGCGGGGCAGGCGGCCUUGAUAGUUCCGGUGGAAAACUUUUAGAGGCAAAAUUUCUCCCUCCGCACGGGUAGGAGUCUCUAAAGAGUCGGACGCAACCUCCAUUAAAGACGACCUCCUCCACAGCUCUACGCCACAGGAAGGAAGUGCUCCCUACAGCCUUGCGGUAGUCGUCAAAUCACCCUCUCCUCCAUCUUGAUAGUGUACUAUUCUUUAAUAAAAUGCUUUGUGCUUGGUACAUUCCUAGUGUCCUUAUUCGAGAGCGGAUCCUCAUAUAGAUCUUUGGAGGGGAAUCCAAGAACCGAGACUUCCAUUGACACAAGACCAGCUUCCAUCGGUAACUCCAGCACAAGACAGGUCCAACUUCAGCUCUUACUGCAACAAGGGUAUCAGCCCCUAUCAAGUGAACAUCAAAACUACCAUAGCCCCUGGACCAGAGUAGUCAAGCCUUCUAAGACCAAGACACAAGCCCCCGCUCCGCCUUAAUCUCAUACCACUGCCUGAUGCCCCAGAGAGCAAAAAUUAGGACUCUAAUGAAAACAUUGCCGUGUUCUGAAGGAAGCAACUACAGAAGAUUGAGUUCGGCCCCCAACUUAAAAGAUUUCAGGACCUCGUCUUUGAAGGGGGAAUGGCAGAGUAGGCUAUUACAUACGAGCUGGAGGCAAGGGCAGCAAUAAAUGGGUUACAUUUAGAGACCUGAGGGCAAACAUCUUGGUUUUGUGGUUUCCAACUUUCCAGGACUACAAGACCAAGAGCAGCAGGUGCAGAGCUUGUGCUCCGCUGUUCAACUUCUGCCCCAGGGUAACCCCAGAAUUUAUUAUAUUACGUUUGCAUUCAGAAUUGCCCCCCCACCCCGCGUAAGGGAAGACAGCGAAGACCGGUCCAGCAGGAACCUUGUAGGGCAAAAGUUCUCCCUCCCCACCGGUAGGAGGAGUCUCCAUUAAAGACUACCUUGUCCUUAGGACUCCGCUUACUUAAAAAGGAAAAAAACUGGUAGCCUCGGGGCAGUUGCCAACCCCAGACUUGCCCACUCCAUUCUGAGUGUACUGUCCUUUAAUAAACCGCUUUGUGCUUACUACCUUUCUUCUCAUUGUCUUUAUUCCACACUGCGGAUCCUCAUGUAUUAAAUCUCUUGUGGGGAAUCCAAGAAGAGGGCCUUCCAUUGACACAGGGCAAGCUUCCACCGGUAACAAUUACAAAAAGAUGUUUCGAAGAGGGGCGAGGAAUCUACUCCCAAUAUACAAGAAAAAUCAGAAGUCCGUCAAAAGGGCAGUGAAAUCUAGACUUCGAGGCGCCAAUCGUGUUUUGGACACCAACGUGAUGCCUGCCAAACAGGUUCAAGCAGAGUCGACCUCACUUUGCUCGGCCUCUCGGAGCCAAAGAAAGAAAAGAGAUCUUAAAGGAGUCAACCUCGACUUGGGGGGAGGGGGCGGUGGUAUGAGGGGAAAGUUGCCGGGGGUGCAGGCAGUCUGCGAAACACCUGAGGCUCAAGAAAUGGCCUUGCGCAGGGGCAACGGGCUGCGCGAGGAUGUCACAGACGGACCCGGCGGCGAGGCUGUCACUGCGCGGCCUCCCCCCUCCCGGCCUCGGGCCCCAGUCACUCACAUGCGGGGCCCGCGCCCUCUCGGGCUCCCCCCGCCUUGGGGACAGCGGCCGCCGGGCGAGGAGGAUAAGCGGACAAUUCCUGCUUCCGGGCACGCAACCCGGAAGCAACUCCCGCGCCACCGCGAGGCCGCGCGCCCUAGGGAAGCUCCUUCUUCACGCCCCGCGCUUCCGUCAGAAACAGAACCCGUGACGUUGCCGAGCGCGCGCGCAAACUCCCGCGAUAUCUGGAGGGCACUGGCCCCUGCUCCCCCUGGCGUCAAUUUGAUUCUUUGUCCAGCUGGAAGAACCUUGAAGUGCAAAGUAAAUUCUUCCUUCUUGAUGCCCAACAACAUUUAUCUCAUACCAACCAAGCUGAGGUUUAUGGAAAGGUUAAUUUGCUCAAGAUUACACAAAGGGUGUUGUGGUCACAGUUUGAACCCAGGUUCCUUAUUUUGCCCUGUCUUUAGUGCCAAGAUCCUAAAUGCUUUCUUUUAGAGAGCUGCAAUCAAAAUGCUACUGAGUCCAGACUGUAAGGACCUAUUUAACCAGAGACUUCCAUUGA